UACGGGGGAGCAAGCGUUGUUCGGAUUUACUGGGCGUAAAGGGCGCGUAGGCGGCGCAACAAGUCACUUGUGAAAUCUCCGGGCUUAACUCGGAGCGGCCAAGUGAUACUGUCGUGCUAGAGUGCGGAAGGGGCUACUGGAAUUCUCGGUGUAGCGGUGAAAUGCGUAGAUAUCGAGAGAAACACCUGCGGCGAAGGCGGGUAGCUGGGCCGACACUGACGCUGGAGGCGCGAAAGCCUAGGGGAGCGAACGGG
rnacentral:rRNA from 1 species